rnacentral:tRNA from 1 species
UCCCUGGUGGCUCAGAGGAUAAAGCGUCUGCCUGAAAUGCAGGAGAUGCAGGUUCAGUCCCUGGGUUGGGAA